ensembl:lncRNA
AUGGUGGGGGCCGUUGCCAUGGCUUCUGUGUACCAAACACAGGAAUGGGGCAGGGUGGGGGCACCAGGCAGAAACAUCCACUCGGCGCAGGAGUGGCGGGGAGGCUCCGAGUGGGGGCGGAGCGGGGGCGGGGCGAGGGCGGGGAGCAGAAGUGGGAUCCUUGGGAAAGGGGCCGCUUCACAGGUACAGACAGGUGCAAGGGAUUCCUCAAGGAAGCAGCUGCGGAGGAUACCAAGGUGCCCCAGAACUUCACAGGUACCGGCUCCAGGAGACUCCAGGAGGCCUGCAGAGGGAGGGGGGUGGGGGAGGGAGGUGGCAGUCCAUUUCCGGUCCUGCCGCCCCCCCCCCCUCGCCACACCCUGGGCCGUUACUGGGAUGAAUCACCCACCGCCCGCCGCUGGGGUGACGCAGUGGUCUGGGCAGCCCGCCCGACCGCCCGCCCGCGGCCACCACCGACUUUCCCAGCAGCAGGGGGCAAGGGGUGGGGGCAUCGGCUCCCGUAGGGGCUGGAGGCCUGGAAAGCAUCCAUCCUCCCUCAACACCACCUCCUACAGACAGGGCAUGAUGGGGCGCAGACAGGGCUGCAGCCUCCCAGAUGUUUCAGGUCGGGGGGACUCUCCUGGAGGCGACUGGAGCUUCAACUCCCCGCCCGAACCCGGGAAGGCGAGGCCAUGCGGGACCCGCGCGCGGAGCCCCCUCGCCCCAACCCGCGACGCCGAAUCCCCGGAAAAACGAGCUGCAGGAGAAUGAACAGAAAGGUCGGCUUCGGGGACGCAGAGGGCAGGCAGCACCCACACGUGCUCCUGGAACUAGGAAGUGAAGUGUCGCUUCGGAAGCCCCGGCGGCGCCGAGCUGGCCAGGGUGGGCGCCGGGACCCUGUACGCACCAUCACUGGGGGCCAGCCAGCUAAUCCCUGACGCCCCCCUUUCCCCACCCAGCGAAGACCCGGGGCUGGAGCCGGCGGGCGGGACGCAGUCCCCGAGUCCCUGAUCCGGACGGACGGCCCCGUCUAUGCACUCGCAACAGCGGUUGACCUCAUUGCUCAACAAUGCGGGGUCAGAGCCUGGGGACAGACCUGACAGCCCGGGGAGGGGCAAAGCAGUCAACGGACCCUUGCCUGCCAGCCCUUGAUCACCAAGCUCACUGGAGCAAGUCGCAAGCUCUGGCUUCUAGCUUUCUAGAGACCCCUCCCUCCAGCUCACCGUUCACGCGGGCCGGAGAGUUGCUCACUCCAGGCGGGGUCUGCAGCGCGAGUGAAGCGCCAGGGCCGGGCCCGGCCGGAGGUUUUCAGCCCGCUCCCGCCUCGGACGGGGCGGACCAGGGGCGGGGCAAGGGCCGAGAGGGUUUAAAGGCGCCGCAGUCCAGAAGCUGAGGGCAGUGCUUAAAAGAGAGGGGCGGUGGAGAAGAACCUGAGUUAAAGGACCUGGAGGCAGUAGCCUCCACUCUUGAGAACCUCUACCCCUACCCCAGAGCCCUUAAACUUGUGCCCCAGUGGGAAACUUUCUGCCUAGGUUAGCUCAAGACUGUGGGCGUUUUUAUACGGGAAGAAACCUCUUGGUUUAAAAAGGGUGGUUAAGUAAAUGGAGGCACAGGGAGACGCUCACCGCCCUCACUCCACACACACACACAACUGUCUAGGGUGAGGCAGGACUGGGGCUAGCAGGCCAGGACAGCUCCUGGUCUUGGUGGUCUUGCUCCCCACCUUCUUCAAGCCCCAGACUAGCAGUGAGGUGAUUCCGUGCCCAGGGCCCAAGAGGCAUGAUCAGCGUUGGGACCCAGGGUUCAGACUUGACUUCUUUUUUUUUUAAACAAUUUUAUUUUUUUAUUUUAUAACUUAUUUAUUUACUUGGGGGCUGUGUUAAGUCUUUGUUGUGGUGUGUGGGCUUCUCAUUGUGGUGGCUUCUCUUGUUGUGGAGCACAGGCUCUAGGUGUGUGGGCUUCAGUAGCUGUGGCACAUGAGCUCGAGUAGUUGUCGUUCGCGGGCUCUAGAGCGCAGGUUCAGUAGUUGUGGUGCACGGGCUUAGUUGCUCCACGGCAUGUGGGAUCUUCCCGGACCAGGGCUCGAACCCGUAUCCCCUGUAUUGGCAGGCGGAUUCUCAACCACUGUGCCACCAAGGAAGUCCCCAGACUUGACUUCUUUCCCCUUCAUUUCCUCCUCUAUGACCUGGCACCUCUUCUUAAUCCUGGAGGGAUCAAAAGAACCCUCAGUGGAGGAGGAGGCUGGCAGUUCUUCUGUCUCUGAGGGUGGAGGAGAGCCUCGUUUGGGGGUUGAAGGAGGGCUCCCUCCUCCCUGUUUUCAGGCUUCAGUUGAGCAGUCCCUCUGGAGUGUGGUCCCUGCUUACAUCUAUCAGUGGAGUUCUUCACAGAUGAUAGAAGACCCAGUUGAGCCUGGUUUUCAAGCGCAUCACCAACCAGUGCCGGACUUCCCUGGUGGUGCAGUGGUUAAGAAUCCGCCUGCCAAUGCAGGGGACACGGGUUUGGUCACUGGUCCGGGAAGAUCCCACAUGCUGCAGAGCAACUAAGCCCAUGCGCCACAACUACAGAGCCUGCACUCUAGAGCCCGCGAGCCACAACUACUGAGCCCGCGUGCCACAACUACUGAAGCCCGUGUGCCUAGAGCCCGUGCUCCACAACAAGAGAAGCCACUGCAAUGAGAAGCCUGCGCACCACAACAAAGAGUAGCCCCCGCUCCACGCAACUAGAGAAAGCCCGCACACAGCAACGAGGACCCAAUGCAGCCAAAAAUAAAAUAAAUUUUAAAAAUAAUAAUUAAAAAAAAAAAACCAGUGCCUUCCCACUUUUCCAUUCUCUCUUGCCCGAUCCUCCCUACCCCUAUAUUCCAGUGAUUCCCUGGUAGGCCAAGGAAUCCUCCGUGCUUUUACACAGGCUGUUCCUCUGCCUGGGAUGCGUUUCCUCCCUUGACUGACUUCUCACCUGCUCUAUCCAUCACCAACUUUGUGACUUUUGGGCAACUUACUAAAGCACUGUGCACCUCAGUUCGCUAGUCUAUAAAAUAGAGCUAAUAGUACUACCUACCUCAGAGUGGUAGAGAAUUAAAUGAUACAUGUAAAGAGCUUACAGCAGUGCCUGGCACAUAGUGAGUGCUCAGCUGUGGCUAUCAUCAUUGUUCUCACUUCCUGUGAUGAUGCCUGCAAUCGUCCCAAUUUAUCCCAGCGCAAGCUGUAAGCAUUCACUGUUUGCUGACUCCUUCCUUCAUGCUGCCUUAAUAACCAACACAUAGUUUAUCACAGAACUUAUCACAUAGUACUGUAACUAUUUCUUUUUUUUCUUUUUCUUUCUUUUUUUUUUUUGCGGUACGCGGGCCUCUCACUGUUGUGGCCUCUCCCGUUGAGGAGCACAGGCUCCGGACACGCAGGCUCAGCGGCCAUGGCUCACGGGCCCAGCCGCUCCGCGGCAUGUGGGAUCUUCCCGGACUGGGGCACGAACCCGCGUCCCCUGCAUCGACAGGCGGACUCUCAAACACUGCGCCACCAGGGAAGCCCUGUAACUAUUUCUUUACUUGCCUGCUUCACCGACCAGAAAGAACUCCCCAAGAGCAGACAUGUCUUGUGAAUUUUGUAGUUCCUCUGCAUCUAGCUCAAUGGCUGGUCUCAGUAGGCAUUCAAUAGCUGACCUCAGUAGGCACUCAAUAAAUGCUUUUUGAAUGGAUAUUGAACGUACAUCCAUCCAUUCAGGAAGAGUACCCUCAG